UACGAAGGGGGCUAGCGUUGCUCGGAAUUACUGGGCGUAAAGCGCACGUAGGCGGCUUUUUAAGUCGGGGGUGAAAUCCUGGAGCUCAACUCCAGAACUGCCUUCGAUACUGAAGAGCUUGAGUCCGGGAGAGGUGAGUGGAACUGCGAGUGUAGAGGUGAAAUUCGUAGAUAUUCGCAAGAACACCAGUGGCGAAGGCGGCUCACUGGCCCGGUACUGACGCUGAGGUGCGAAAGCGUGGGGAGCAAACAGG
rnacentral:rRNA from 1 species